rnacentral:rRNA from 1 species
AGUGAACGCUGGCGGCAGGCCUAACACAUGCAAGUCGAGCGGCAGCGCGGGGGCAACCCUGGCGGCGAGCGGCGGACGGGUGAGGAAUACAUCGGAAUCUACCCAGUCGUGGGGGAUAACGUAGGGAAACUUACGCUAAUACCGCAUACGACCUGAGGGUGAAAGCAGGGGACCGCAAGGCCUUGCGCGAUUGGAUGAGCCGAUGUCCGAUUAGAUAGUUGGUGAGGUAAAGGCUCACCAAGGCGACGAUCGGUAGCUGGUCUGAGAGGAUGAUCAGCCACACUGGAACUGAGACACGGUCCAGACUCCUACGGGAGGCAGCAGUGGGGAAUAUUGGACAAUGGGCGCAAGCCUGAUCCAGCCAUGCCGCGUGUGUGAAGAAGGCCUUCGGGUUGUAAAGCACUUUUGUCCGGAAAGAAAUCCUGUCGGUUAAUACCUGGCGGGGAUGACGGUACCGGAAGAAUAAGCACCGGCUAACUUCGUGCCAGUCGCCGCCGUAACAC